GGUUAAUAUUCCCGUACUUGGUGUUACUGCGAAGGGGGGACGGAGAAGGCUAUGUUGGCCGGGCGACGGUUGUCCCGGUUUAAGCGUGUAGGUGUGUGUUCCAGGUAAAUCCGGUUCACUUUAACACUGAGGCGUGAUGACGAGGCACUACGGUGCUGAAGCAACAAAUGCCCUGCUUCCAGGAAAAGCCUCUAAGCAUCAGGUAACAUCAAAUCGUACCCCAAACCGACACAGGUGGUCAGGUAGAGAAUACCAAGGCGCUUGAGAGAACUCGGGUGAAGGAACUAGGCAAAAUGGUGCCGUAACUUCGGGAGAAGGCACGCUGACACGUAGGUGAAGUGAUUUACUCAUGGAGCUGAAGUCAGUCGAAGAUACCAGCUGGCUGCAACUGUUUAUUAAAAACACAGCACUGUGCAAACACGAAAGUGGACGUAUACGGUGUGACGCCUGCCCGGUGCCGGAAGGUUAAUUGAUGGGGUCAGCGCAAGCGAAGCUCCUGAUCGAAGCCCCGGUAAACGGCGGCCGUAACUAUAACGGUCCUAAGGUAGCGAAAUUCCUUGUCGGGUAAGUUCCGACCUGCACGAAUGGCGUAAUGAUGGCCAGGCUGUCUCCACCCGAGACUCAGUGAAAUUGAACUCGCUGUGAAGAUGCAGUGUACCCGCGGCAAGACGGAAAGACCCCGUGAACCUUUACUAUAGCUUGACACUGAACAUUGAGCCUUGAUGUGUAGGAUAGGUGGGAGGCUUUGAAGUGUGGACGCCAGUCUGCAUGGAGCCGGCCUUGAAAUACCACCCUUUAAUGUUUGAUGUUCUAACGUGGACCCGUGAUCCGGGUUGCGGACAGUGUCUGGUGGGUAGUUUGACUGGGGCGGUCUCCUCCUAAAGAGUAACGGAGGAGCACGAAGGUUGGCUAAUCCUGGUCGGACAUCAGGAGGUUAGUGCAAUGGCAUAAGCCAGCUUGACUGCGAGCGUGACGGCGCGAGCAGGUGCGAAAGCAGGUCAUAGUGAUCCGGUGGUUCUGAAUGGAAGGGCCAUCGCUCAACGGAUAAAAGGUACUCCGGGGAUAACAGGCUGAUACCGCCCAAGAGUUCAUAUCGACGGCGGUGUUUGGCACCUCGAUGUCGGCUCAUCACAUCCUGGGGCUGAAGUAGGUCCCAAGGGUAUGGCUGUUCGCCAUUUAAAGUGGUACGCGAGCUGGGUUUAGAACGUCGUGAGACAGUUCGGUCCCUAUCUGCCGUGGGCGCUGGAGAACUGAGGGGGGCUGCUCCUAGUACGAGAGGACCGGAGUGGACGCAUCACUGGUGUUCGGGUUGUCAUGCCAAUGGCACUGCCCGGUAGCUAAAUGCGGAAGAGAUAAGUGCUGAAAGCAUCUAAGCACGAAACUUGCCCCGAGAUGAGUUCUCCCUGAGACUUAGAGUCUCCUGAAGGAACGUUGAAGACGACGACGUUGAUAGGCCGGGUGUGUAAGCGCAGCGAUGCGUUGAGCUAACCGGUACUAAUGAACCGUGAGGCUUAACCUU
rnacentral:rRNA from 1 species